ACGUGUAAAUUGGCAAAUUAAUCUGCGAAUCACUUGCGUUCCGAACGGUAGGGUCUCAUCCAUACGUAUUACGGAUCAGCUGCGAUCCGUUUAACUCCUAAUAUGUUUUUUUAAGUAAUUUU